GUGGUGGUUCUCAUUUAGGGCGCUGCCCUUUUUUCGCCUCCAUCUCCCUGUUGCGCCCCAGUUAUAUCCACUUCAAACGUCCAAAGUGAAUGAGGGCACCUGGGAGCUGGUGCAAGAGCCGCACAAGCUUGGGACUGUCAAGAUAUCACUGCAGGAAAAAGAGAAAUACACCAUCAGAAAUUCGGGGCCAAGCGCUGUGACUCACCGUUCCCCUCUGAGACCCUCUGGGAAGAAUUUACGAACACAUCCUGUCCUUGUCCCAGCAGGCAGGGGACAAAAGAAGUGAACUGAAGCGCUCCCUUCAGCGUAUGAGGAAAAAGCUCCAGAUGCUACUGGACACCGCAAUCCAAAUCAACUCUUCCUGUGGCUGCCCAUCCUGGCCAGCAUCCCUGGAGCUAGUGCCAACAAGGAGGGCCAGUGUUGGAAAAGCGAACCCAGCUGAAGAUUUACAAAUAUUCCCUUGCUGCCUCUUCAAGCAAGUCGAACAAGGCCAGAUCUGAUGAGUGGGGAGAGGAUCAGACAAGGUCACCUUUAGUUUUAACCCAGCCGGCCAGAUCACGAUUUGUGUGAAAAGCAGUGCUCGGUAGUGUCGGAAACCAUCGAGAGGGAGAAGUCCUAUUCGGAAGCUAGAGUGAACGAGGCUACCUUGCAGUAAACAGGUGAUGGGUAAUGACUUGGGGCAGGGGUGUAAUAAUAAGAAUA